UGACUGAGCCACCCAGGUCCCUAAAUGGAACAAAUGAAAAGGAAGACUAUCCAAAAGAAAACAUCAGGAAGAUGCUCCAGUUUUCUGGGAGGAUACAGUUGACCCUUAAACAACACAGAGGUUAGGGGCACAAACCCCUGCAACGAGCUGAAAAUUCCUGUGUAACUUUUGACUUCCCAAAACUUCACUGACAGCCUGCUGUUGAUGAAAGCCUUACCAACGAUGUGAACAGUCAAUUAAUGUGUACUUUGGAUAGGAUAUGCAUUGUAUACUGUGUUAUUAUAACAAAGGAAGCUAGAGAAAAUAAAAUGUUAUUAAGAAAAUCCUAA